GCUAGCGUAGCUCAGCAGGUAGAGCAGUUGCUUUGUAAGCAUCAGGUCGGGGGUUCGAUUCCCUCCGCUAGCUCCA
rnacentral:tRNA from 1 species